rnacentral:tRNA from 1 species
AAAAAGAUAAGCUAAAUUAAGCUUACGGGCUCAUACCCCGUCUAUGGGCUAUAAAUCCCUCUUUUUA